AAUACAGUGUUGCAUAUCCAUCUCAUUGCGAACCAUGGCUCUGACCUAACCCUCCUCUCUCUCCAUCUCUCUGUGAUUCCCCAUCUCCACCCCCUUUCUCUCGCACCCAUUCUCCCCAUCGCACACCGUCCACUCCCCCUUUCUCUGUAAAUCGUGAUUCUUCCACUUCUUCCUCUCGGGUUCUGCUUCUACAUCUAUAUCCAUUUCCAAAUUUGCCCAAAUACGCCCAUAUCCGUGUUCAAUAAAACGGAAAAACACGGUUGAAUGAUUAUUCUAUACAAGUGCAUCCAGGUAAUUGUAUUAGCAAGAUUGAAUUCAUUGUUUAUGGUGUAUCUCGCUCCGACUUCGAAGCUUCUGUCACCGCUGAAGUGGAUUGGUCUGCUAUUACUACGGGUGGCGAUGAAAGGACGUUGGAGUUUGCUAGACUUAAAAUUUUUACGUUUGGCAUUGAGUAGAAUCAAAAACAGUGGUUGUUGAGAAGAAGACUGACUGGCCGUGUUUUACUCAUGGAUGGCGUGAAAGAAGACCAUGUUGAGGUCUGUUGACGGUGUUGAGCCAACCACAAUUGAAGAUGAGGUUGCGCAAGGAUCAUCUAACAAACCUACCAAAUUGAAGUCCGUUAAAGUGCAGAAGAUUUAACCAGAUUUAUGUCAUACAUGAUGUUGUGCUUUGUCGACGUAGCUUUGAAAUGUUUUUAUUCCUGACCGUGUGCCCUUGAUAUAUAUGUAAUGCCUGUUGCAGUAAUUUUGAACUUUUUUCCUUUUUUUUUUUGGGUGUUGUACU